UAAGACUAAACGCUAACAGCCACUGACAAAGUUCCACGAGUCUUAAAGGUUGGACGCAAGCUUCAUGUCGUUUAUUGUUUGCACAACCCGAAAAACGUUUCGCACUACAUUUAUUGUGCGUUUCGAUCUUCCUUCAUGACUCCGGCUUGAGCGAUUGCAACACCACAAAACUGCCGUAGUGAUGUGCAUUUGCAUGACUUUUCGCAACCGCGUUGCUGCAUUCGACGUAUUUCUGAGUCCACCCUGUGGCCAUCGUGCCUUCUUGAGGGUCAACGUUCUGCUGGCUCUUGUGCCGCUCAUCACGCCACAUUUCCCAACUGCGCCUCCCACUGCGAAGGCGCUGACAGUGCUGGCCACUGUCAGUCGGCGGGGCGAUUUCGGUGAGUUCUGUCGUGCGCUUCAACGGACGAACCUUGGACUUGGACUUCUCACUCAGUGUCUGCACCCUGCUCCUUUGGAUGCCCACGCAAGUACGCGAACGAGGCGGAGGCACGUGAUGGGCGAAAUGAUACGAGGCAACGUGAAAACAACACCAUCACGUUUCGUAAAAUGAGUCUUCAUCGCGAAGACGCCGCAAUGCCUUCGCAUUCAUCCGCGUAAGGAUACCUAAAUGCCCUUGAAAGUUUUUUUUCAUUGACUGUACAAACAUAUGGCAUAGUGUACCUUGAACAUAAAUUUGGCCAGUUUGUAUAGUG